UACGUAGGUGGCAAGCGUUAUCCGGAUUUAUUGGGCGUAAAGAGAGUGCAGGCGGUUUUCUAAGUCUGAUGUGAAAGCCUUCGGCUUAACCGGAGAAGUGCAUCGGAAACUGGAUAACUUGAGUGCAGAAGAGGGUAGUGGAACUCCAUGUGUAGCGGUGGAAUGCGUAGAUAUAUGGAAGAACACCAGUGGCGAAGGCGGCUACCUGGUCUGCAACUGACGCUGAGACUCGAAAGCAUGGGUAGCGAAC
rnacentral:rRNA from 2 species